CGUUAAAAACCCGUGUGUUCUGCCUAUCAAAGCAAUUACGCAAGAAGGACAUCUCUAUAGCGACAAAGCUCAAUUCCGUUACGGUUACGACCAAGGUACAGGUAAAUGCGUCAAGUUCCUGUGGUCAAUGUCUCAUGGAAACAAUAACAGCUUCAGGUCACGCAAACAAUGUCUGGAAACCUGCGCACCGAAGUCAUCAUGCUUAUUUCCAACCGAGUACCAUGGCUGGAGAAUUUUUCCUUCAUACUUUUACGAUCCUCGUCACGACACUUGUAACAGAACGACCACCUUCCUCAGGAAUUUUCAAUAUUGGCCGAAAGCGAACAGAUUUUUUACUUCAGAUAGUUGCCAGAAAGAAUGCAUGCCCGAUCUUUCCGCAAUCCUUCAGUACGCCUACAGCUACGUAUAAUAAAUGCAUAUUUAGU
rnacentral:lncRNA from 1 species